rnacentral:rRNA from 1 species
UACAGAGGGGGCAAGCGUUGUUCGGAAUUACUGGGCGUAAAGGGCGCGUAGGCGGCCUGUUAAGUCGAACGUGAAAUCCCCGGGCUCAACCCGGGAACUGCGUCCGAUACUGGCAGGCUUGAAUUCGGGAGAGGGAUGUGGAAUUCCAGGUGUAGCGGUGAAAUGCGUAGAUAUCUGGAGGAACACCGGUGGCGAAGGCGGCAUCCUGGACCAACACUGACACUGAGGAGCGAAAAGCCAGGGGAGCAAACAGG